rnacentral:sRNA from 12 species
GCUAUGGAGUAUGAUACCAAACGCUAGUAGCCUGCGAGAAGUCGCGGCGAGAGCGCAUACGAGGAAAUAGCAA